rnacentral:misc_RNA from 1 species
AAGGAAGAUAAUUGUGAUUCGUCAAGCGAAGAUUCAAGACAUAACAGGAAUCUUUGAGAAGGGUAAAAUUAAGGGGAAGGAUGUCGAAGUCUUGCAAAGGUUUGGCGAUGGAAUUGGUCAAGUGUCUCAGCGAAUCUGAUUGUGUGAAGGUUCAGAACCGAACUUACAGGGAAUGUGCUGGAGAGAAGAGUCCUUGCAUACCUAGUGAAUGUGUGGGAUUAAGAGAAACAUAUUUCAACUGUAAAAGAGGCCAGGUUGACAUGAGG